GUGGGGUUAUGGUAUGGGCAGGUAUAAGGCUAUGGACAACGAAAACAAUUGCAAUUUGAAUACACAGAAAUACUCUGACGAGAUCCUGAUGCCCAUUGUGAGGUGAGCACCUAGAGAAGAUCAUCACCCAUGGUGCUGAAGUUCUGCAGUGUGGAGGAUGAUGAACUCAGGGACUACUGCUUCCAGGCCUUUGAAGCUUUUCACCGCAGAUGCCCUAAGGAGAUGUCCCCUCUGUGAUCAAGGUACAUCACCUAUGACCUUCACUAGAACUACGAUGUGGAUGAGAAUGGGGAUGAGUCCAUGGAUUCACA
rnacentral:lncRNA from 1 species